rnacentral:rRNA from 1 species
GACGAACGCUGGCGGCGUGCUUAACACAUGCAAGUCGAACGGAAAGGCCCUGCUUUUGUGGGGUGCUCGAGUGGCGAACGGGUGAGUAGCACGUGAGUAACCUGCCCUUGACUUUGGGAUAACUUCAGGAAACUGGGGCUAAUACCGGAUAGGAGCUCCUGCUGCAUGGUGGGGGUUGGAAAGUUUCGGCGGUUGGGGAUGGACUCGCGGCUUAUCAGCUUGUUGGUGGGGUAGUGGCUUACCAAGGCUUUGACGGGUAGCCGGCCUGAGAGGGUGACCGGCCACAUUGGGACUGAGAUACGGCCCAGACUCCUACGGGAGGCAGCAGUGGGGAAUAUUGCACAAUGGGCGGAAACCUGAUGCAGCAACGCCGCGUGCGGGAUGACGGCCUUCGGGUUGUAAACCGCUUUCGCCUGUGACGAAGCGUGAGUGACGGUAAUGGGUAAAGAAGCACCGGCUAACUACGUG